rnacentral:rRNA from 1 species
UACGGAGGAUCCAAGCGUUUAUCCGGAUUCAUUGGGUUUAAAGGGUGCGUAGGCGGAAUGAUAAGUCAGUGGUGAAAUCCUGCAGCUUAACUGCAGAACUGCCAUUGAUACUGUCAAUCUUGAGUAUAUUUGAUGUGGGCGGAAUGUGUCAUGUAGCGGUGAAAUGCUUAGAUAUGACACAGAACACCGAUUGCGAAGGCAGCUCACAAAACUAUAACUGACGCUGAGGCACGAAAGCGUGGGUAUCAAACAGG